GUGAGGAAUAUUGGUCAAUGGGCGGGAGCCUGAACCAGCCAAGUCGCGUGAAGGAAGAAGGAUCUAUGGUUCGUAAACUUCUUUUGCAGGGGAAUAAAGUGCGGGACGUGUCCUGUUUUGUAUGUACCCUGAGAAUAAGGAUCGGCUAACUCCGUGCCAGCAGCCGCGGUAAUACGGAGGAUCCGAGCGUUAUCCGGAUUUAUUGGGUUUAAAUGGUGCGUAGGUGGUUUGAUAAGUCAGCGGUGAAAGUUUGCAGCUUAACUGUAGAAAUGCCGGUGAAACUGUCGGACUUGAGUGUAAAUGAGGUAGGCGGAAUGCGUGGUGUAGCGGUGAAAUGCAUAGAUAUCACGCAGAACUCCGAUUGCGAAGGCAGCUUACUAAGCUACAACUGACACUGAAGCACGAAAGCGUGGGGAUCAAACAGGAUUAGAAACCCGGGUAGUCC
rnacentral:rRNA from 1 species